CAGCCGCCGCGGGAAUACAGAGGCCUCAAGCGUUGUUCGGAUUCAUUGGGCGUAAAGGGUGCGUAGGUGGCUUGGUAAGUUGAAGGUGAAAUCUCGGGGCUUAACCCCGAAACUGCCUUCAAUACUGCUAGGCUCGAGGACUGUAGAGGAGAAUGGAAUUCACGGUGUAGCAGUGAAAUGCGUAGAUAUCGUGAGGAAGACCAGUGGCGAAGGCGAUUCUCUGGGCAGUUCCUGACACUGAGGCACGAAGGCCAGGGGAGCAAACGGGAUUAGAUACCCGCGUAGUCCCUGUCUCUUAUAA
rnacentral:rRNA from 1 species